rnacentral:rRNA from 1 species
AUUGAACGCUGGCGGAAGGCUUUACACAUGCAAGUCGAGCGGCAGCACGGGGGCAACCCGGUUCGCGGGCGGCCAACGGGUGAGUAAUACAGCAGAACAUGUCCAAUCGGCGUGUAUAACACGGCUAAAGAAGUGCUAAUACCGCAUACGUCCUGAGGGGGAAAGCGGGGGAUCGCAAGACCUCGCGCGGUUGUAGUGGCCGAGGGCAGAGUAGGUAGUUGGUGGGGUAAAGGCCGACCAAGGCAACGAUCUGUAGCUGGUCUGAUAGGAUGAUCAGCCACACUACAUCUGAACCACGGCCCAGACUCCUACGGGACGCAGCAGUGCGGAGUUUUAGACUAUGGGGGCAGCCCUGGCCCAGCCCUGCCGAGUGAGUGAAGGAGGCCUUGGGCUUGUAAAGCUCUUCCGGCAGGAACGAAACGGUGAGCUCUAACAUAGCCUGUUAAUGACGGUACCUGAAGAAGAAGCACCGGCUAACUACGUG